rnacentral:ncRNA from 2 species
AGGAACGAGCGGUUAUUGGGUUUCCGGGGCAAGGAAUGCGGUGCAAGUCCGCAGCGGUCCCGCCACUGUAACCGGGGAUGAAAGCAACAAGCGAUAGUGCGUGAGAACGCGCUGUCGCAGCCAUUGUGGGAAACCACGAGAAGGCGUUGCGACUAAAACGAUCCGGAAGCCAGGAUACAGACCGGAAACAUCAGCACCUU